rnacentral:rRNA from 1 species
AUGCCAAGGAAUGUUGAGCUGACACCACGCACCUAUAGACCACUCCAAGGAGGUUGGGAUGUGAUCAAGGCGGCGGUUAGCUGGUGGUGUGGAUGCUUGGAGCAAGUGUACAAUGCACCUCCAGGUGGCACUAAUGAAGCCGAUUGGGAUAAAAUUGCAGCCGCGAGGUAUAGGGACAUGCCGGCAUCCAGGGGCAAGCCCUUUGCAUUCGAGCAUUGUUGA